GGGGAUAUAGCUGAGUUGGUAGAGUGCUUGCCUUGCAUGCACAAAGCCCUGGGUUCAGUUCCCAGCAUCACAA
rnacentral:tRNA from 1 species